UGGUCAAGUUAUUAAGGGUGCAGGGCGGAUGCCUUGGCACUAGGAGCCGAUGAAGGACGUGAUAAGCUGCGAUAAGCUUCGGGGAGUUGCACGUAAACUUUGAUCCGAAGAUUUCCGAAUGAGGAAACUCACUUAGAGUAAUGUCUAAGUAUCAUUAAGUGAAUACAUAGCUUAAUGAGGGGAACUCAGGGAACUGAAACAUCUAAGUACCUGAAGGAAGAGAAAGAAAUUCGAUUCCGUAAGUAGCGGCGAGCGAACGCGGAUUAGCCCAAACCAAUAAAGUUUUCUUUAUUGGGGUUGCGGACAUAUCAUAACGAAGAGGUAUCGUAAUUGAAGAGGUUUGGAAAGACCCACCACAGAAGGUAAUAGUCCUGUAUGUUAAACGAGAAGACUUUAGAUAUGAUCCAGAGUACCACGGGACACGUGAAACCCUGUGGGAAGCAGGAGGGACCACCCUCCAAGGCUAAAUACUACCUAGUGACCGAUAGCGUAUAGUACCGUGAGGGAAAGGUGAAAAGAACCCCGGGAGGGGAGUGAAAUAGAACCUGAAACCCUGCACUUACAAGCUGUGGAAGCACAUUUCUUGUGUGACCGCGUACUUUUUGUAGAACGGGCCAACGAGUUACGUUAAGUAGCAAGGUUAAGCACUUAAGGUGUGGAGCCGUAGCGAAAGCGAGUUUUAACUGAGCGUUCAGUUACUUGACGUAGACCCGAAACCGGGCGACCUACCCAUGAGCAGGAUGAAGCGAAAGUAAAAUUUCGUGGAGGUCCGAACCCACGAGCGUUGAAAAGCUCGGGGAUGACUUGUGGGUAGCGGUGAAAUUCCAAUCGAGCCCGGAGAUAGCUGGUUCUCCCCGAAAUAGCUUUAGGGCUAGCCUCAAGGUGAGAGAUACGGAGGUAGAGCACUGAAUGUCCUAGGGGGUAUUGCACCUACCGAAGACUAUCAAACUCCGAAUGCCGUCAUCUUAUACUUGGGAGUCAGACUGUGGGUGAUAAGAUUCAUAGUCGAAAGGGCAACAGCCCAGAUCGUCAGCUAAGGUCCCUAAAUGUAAGUUAAGUGGUAAAGGAUGUGGGAUUGCACAGACAACCAGGAUGUUGGCUUAGAAGCAGCCACUCAUUCAAAGAGUGCGUAAUAGCUCACUGGUCGAGUGAUCCUGCGCCGAAGAUUUCCGGGGCUAAAACUUACUACCGAAGCUACGGCAUCAGUAAUGAUGGGUAGGGGAGCUUCCCAUACGGGUUGAAGCAUGACCGUAAGGACAUGUGGACAGUAUGGGAGUGAGAAUGUUGGCAUGAGUAGCGAGAUGUGGGUGAGAAUCCCACAGGCCGUAAACCCAAGGUUUCCAGGGGAAGGUUCGUCCGCCCUGGGUUAGUCGGGACCUAAGCUGAGGCCGAAAGGCGUAGGUGAUGGACAACAGGUUGAUAUUCCUGUACUACCGAUAACCGUUUGAGAGAAGGGAUGACACAGUAGGAUAAGCUAAGCACACUGUUGGUUAUGUGUGCCCAAGCAUUGAGGCAGUCAAAGUAGGCAAAUCCGCUUUGAUAAUGCUGGGAUGUGAUGGGGAGCGAAAUUUAGUAGCGAAGUAGCUGAUUUCACACUGUCAAGAAAAGUCUCUAUCGAGGUUAAAGGUACCCGUACCGCAAACCGACACAGGUGGGUGAGGAGAGUAUCCUAAGGCCAGCGAGAGAACUGUUGUUAAGGAACUCGGCAAAAUGACCCCGUAACUUAGGGAUAAGGGGUGCCACCAUCAGGUGGCCGCAGAGAAUAGGCCCAAGCGACUGUUUACCAAAAACAUAGGUUUCUGCUAAGUCGCAAGACGAUGUAUAGGAGCUGACGCCUGCCCGGUGCUGGAAGGUUAAGGGGAUCUGUUAGAGCAAUCGAAGCAGUGAACUUAAGCCCCAGUAAACGGCGGCCGUAACUAUAACGGUCCUAAGGUAGCGAAAUUCCUUGUCGGGUAAGUUCCGACCCGCACGAAAGGCGUAACGAUUUGGGCACUGUCUCAACAACAGACUCGGUGAAAUUGUAAUUCCGGUGAAGAUGCCGGAUACCUGCGACAGGACGGAAAGACCCCAUGGAGCUUUACUGUAGCUUGACAUUGGGUCUUGGUACUACAUGUACAGGAUAGGUGGGAGGCUUUGAAACCAGGACGCCAGUUUUGGCGGAGCCAUCCUUGGGAUACCACCCUUGUAGUACUGGGACUCUAACCAUAGGCCAUGAAUCUGGUCUUGGGACACUGUCAGGUGGGCAGUUUGACUGGGGCGGUCGCCUCCCAAAAGGUAACGGAGGCGCUCAAAGGUUCUCUCAGUACGGUCGGAAAUCGUACGUAGAGUGUAAAGGCAAAAGAGAGCUUGAUUGCAAGACAUACAGGUCGAGCAAGGAUGAAAAUCGGACUUAGUGAUCCGGUGGUUCUGCGUGGAAGGGCCAUCGCUCAACGGAUAAAAGCUACCCUGGGGAUAACAGGCUUAUCUCCCCCAAGAGUCCACAUCGACGGGGAGGUUUGGCACCUCGAUGUCGGCUCAUCACAUCCUGGGGCUGUAGUAGGUCCCAAGGGUUGGGCUGUUCGCCCAUUAAAGUGGUACGCGAGCUGGGUUCAGAACGUCGUGAGACAGUUCGGUCCCUAUCCGUCGCAGGCGUAGGAAAUUUGAGAAGACCUGUCCUUAGUACGAGAGGACCGGGAUGGACGUACCUCUGGUGUACCAGUUGUUCUGCCAAGGGCAUGGCUGGGUAGCUAUGUACGGAAUGGAUAAGCGCUGAAAGCAUCUAAGCGCGAAGCCAACUUCAAGAUAAGAUUUCCCACCGCAAGGGUAAGACCCCAGAAAGACUAUCUGGUUGAUAGGUCGAAGGUGUAAGUGCAGCAAUGUAUUUAGCUUAUCGAUACUAAUAGGUCGAGGACUUGACCAAU
rnacentral:rRNA from 1 species